AAUUUAAAGUCUAAUCUGCCCACUGAUAUAUUAUAUUAAAGGGCUGCAGUAUAUUGACUGUACAAAGGUAGCAUAAUCAUUAGUCUUUUAAUUGAAGACUUGUAUGAAAGAUUUGAUGAAAUAUAAACUGUCUCUAAUUUAUAUAUAGAAAUUAAUUUUUUAGUUAAAAAGCUAAAAUAAAGUUAAAAGACGAGAAGACCCUAUAGAGUUUUAUAUUUUACUUGUUUAAUGUUAAAUAUAUAAUUAAAUUAUAUAAAAAAAUUAAAAUAUUGUGUUGGGGUGAUAGAAAAAUUUAAUAAACUUUUUUUUUGUGGUUAAACAUAAAUAAGUGAUUAAUUGAUCCAUUUUUAGUGAUUAAAAGAAAAAAUUACCUUAGGGAUAACAGCGUAAUAUUUUUUUUUAGUACAAAUAAAAAAAAAAGUUUGCGACCUCGAUGUUGGAUUAAAAUAAAAUUUAAAUGCAAAAGUUUAAAAUUUUGAUCUGUUCGAUCAUUAAAAUCUUACAUG
rnacentral:rRNA from 1 species